rnacentral:tRNA from 1 species
GCCUGGGUGGCUCAGUUGGUUAAGCGGCCGACUUCGGCUCCGGUCAUGAUCUCGCGGUCCCUGAGGUCCGUGAGUUCGAGCCCCGCCUCAGGCU